AUUUGUGAACGGCGGUGGUUUCAUACCUGAGAUUAAACGCCAAAUAUCUGAUCUGGAUAAUGCCAGCGAAGAGAAACACAAUAAGUUCCGGA
rnacentral:ncRNA from 1 species